UACGUAGGGGUGCAAGCGUUGUCCGGAAUUAUUGGGCGAAAGCGCGUGUAGGCGGUCCGGUAAGUCGGCUGUGAAAGUCCAGGGCUCAACCCUGGGAUGCCGGUCGAUACUGCCGGACUAGAGUUCGGAAGAGGCGAGUGGAAUUCCCGGUGUAGCGGUGAAAUGCGCAGAUAUCGGGGAGGAACACCAAUGGCGAAGGCAGCCUCGCUGGGACGUUACUGACGCUGGAG
rnacentral:rRNA from 1 species